ACGAACGCUGGCGGCGUGCUUAACACAUGCCAGUCGAACGAUGAAGAAGAGAAACGCGAACUUCGGAUCAAAUUUCACUUCGGAUUAGUGGCAGACGGGUGAGUAACGCGUGAGCAACCUACCUCUUACAAAGGGAUAGCCUCGGGAAACCGUGAUUAAUACCAUAUGACACAUUCAUAAGGCAUCUUAAGAAUGUUAAAGCUACGGCGGUAAGAGAUGGGCUCGCGUCCCAUUAGCUAGUUGGUGAGGUAACGGCCCACCAAGGCGACGAUGGGUAACCGGCCUGAGAGGGUGAACGGUCACAUUGGAACUGAGACACGGUCCAAACUCCUACGGGAGGCAGCAGUGGGGAAUAUUGCACAAUGGAGGGAACUCUGAUGCAGCGACGCCGCGUGAGCGAUGAAGGAAUUCGUUUCGUAAAGCUCUGUUCUAUGGGAAGAAAAGGACUGUACCAUAGGAGAAAGCCCCGGCUAAAUACGUG
rnacentral:rRNA from 1 species